GGAUUACUCCCAGUAUCACAAGGUACUACGGGGAGCUGACAUGUGCAAUGCACAGGGUCAGAAUCCGAAGUUUUUGGAAAGCUCUUCCGGGGAUAUCCGGUGGAGCGAA
rnacentral:sRNA from 1 species